CCCUUAGAUGUCCUGGGCCGCACGCGCGCUACACUGACAUGUUCAACAAGUUUCUCCUAGUUCGACAGGACUGGGAAAUCUUUGAACGCAUGUCGUGAUAGGGAUAGAUCAUUGCAAUUAUUGAUCUUGAACGGGGAAUUCCUAGUAAACGCGAGUCAUCAGCUCGCAUUGAUUACGUCCCUGCCCUUUGUACACACCGCCCGUCGCACCUACCGAUUGAAUGUUUCGGUGAAGAUUCCGGAUAGGACUGAUUUGAUUUAUUUCAUUUCUGACCUAAAAGCUAUCUAAACCUCAACAUUUAGAGGAAGGUGAAGUCGUAACA
rnacentral:rRNA from 1 species